CCUACGGGAGGCAGCAGUGAGGAAUAUUGGUCAAUGGGCGCGAGCCUGAACCAGCCACGUAGCGUGAAGGAUGAAUGCCCUACGGGUUGUAAACUUCUUUUAUAAAGGAAUAAAGUGAGGCACGUGUGCCUUUUUGUAUGUACUUUAUGAAUAAGGAUCGGCUAACUCCGUGCCAGCAGCGGCGGUAAUACGGAGGAUCCGAGCGUUAUCAGGAUUUAUUGGGUGUAAAGGGAGCGUAGAUGGGUUGUUAAGUCAGUGGUGAAAGUUUUAGGCUCAACCGUAAAAUUGCAAUUGAGACUGGCAGCCUGGGGAACAGUUGAGUUAGGCGGAAUGCGGGUGGUAGCGUUGAAAUGCUUAGGUAUCA
rnacentral:rRNA from 1 species